CAUCUGUUAUUCAGGAACUGUACCUUACCAAUGGGGCAUUCAGAUUUGGAGACAGAGGAAGAUAGAACACAAAACAUAAACAAAUAACUUCCUGUGGUACCAUAAAUGAGCAAGCCCGCAUCAAAAUUGAGAACAGAUUGAGGCAGCUCUUUUUCUGUCUACUGUGUGCAGAUGUUGGAAAUCGGUGGUCACAUGGGCAGUCUGCUGAGAUUGUUUAGAUGACUCUUCCUGCUCCCCCUACCCCGUCUCUUCUCUCUUCACAGCAAUUUAAAUUUUCCAUGGUCUUAAAAUAGCAGCAUGGGAUGCUGCAAUGUACUAAUUCAUAAGUGCCAAUUUUCUUCUUGUAAAUUGCUCUAGAUACUAAUUGGA